UACAGAGGUCUCAAGCGUUGUUCGGAUUCAUUGGGCGUAAAGGGUGCGUAGGUGGCGGGGUAAGUCAGGUGUGAAACCUCGAGGCCCAACCUCGAAACUGCACUUGAUACUGCCUUGCUCGAGUACUGGAGAGGAGAUUGGAAUUUACGGUGUAGCAGUGAAAUGCGUAGAUAUCGUAAGGAAGACCAGUGGCGAAGGCGAAUCUCUGGACAGUUACUGACACUGAGGCACGAAGGCCAGGGGAGCAAACGGG
rnacentral:rRNA from 1 species